CUGAACAAAAGGAAAAGUGAAACGAAGAAACUGUAAAAAAUGACGACUGGACACCAACCACUAAAAGCUGAUUUGUAAAAAAAGACCUGCUUCUCCUGGUGUUGUAUCCUUGCUGGACGGAGAUGGUGAAGAUGCUGGAGGCGGCCAAGCCAGCACAGUAUGGGGUAGAUUUGACAAGGGACAAGAAAAGAAGGCCACCUCCCCUCCAGACAUUCCGAUCAGAGAAAAGAGACAAUUCGAAGCCAACCCAAAGAGACGUCCAAGACCUUGUCUGGGCUGCCUAUCUGUAAUAUCAGCUAAAAAGGAGG